rnacentral:rRNA from 1 species
UCCGAAGGGGGCUAUCGUUGUUCGGAAUCACUGGGCGUAAAGCGCACGUAGGCGGAUUUGUUAGUCAGGGGUGAAAUCCCGGGGCUCAACCUCGGAACUGCCUUUGAUACUGCAGAUCUCGAGUCCGGAAGAGGUGAGUGGAAUUCCUAGUGUAGAGGUGAAAUUCGUAGAUAUUAGGAAGAACACCAGUGGCGAAGGCGGCUCACUGGUCCGGUACUGACGCUGAGGUGCGAAAGCGUGGGGAGAAAACAGG